AGAUUGAACGCUGGCGGCAUGCCUUACACAUGCAAGUCGAACGGCAGCACGGGAGCAAUCCUGGUGGCGAGUGGCGAACGGGUGAGUAAUACAUCGGAACGUGCCUAGUAGUGGGGGAUAGCCCGGCGAAAGCCGGAUUAAUACCGCAUACGACCUACGGGUGAAAGCGGGGAUCGCAAGACCUCGCGCUAUGGAGCGGCUGAUGUCAGAUUAGGUAGUUGGUAAGGGUAAAAGCCUACCAAGCCGACGAUCUGUAGCUGGUCUGAGAGGACGACCAGCCACACGUGGGACUGACGACACGGACCCAGACUCCGUACGGGAGGCAGCAGUGGGAAUUUUGGACAAGUGGGCGCGAAGACCUGACUCCAG
rnacentral:rRNA from 1 species